rnacentral:rRNA from 1 species
GCAUAUCAAUAAGCGGAGGAAAAGAAACCAACAGGGAUUGCCCCAGUAACGGCGAGUGAAGCGGCAACAGCUCAAAUUUGAAAUCUGGCCUCGGCCCGAGUUGUAAUUUGCAGAGGAUGUUUCUGGCGCGGUGCCUUCUGAGUUCCCUGGAACGGGACGCCAUAGAGGGUGAGAGCCCCGUACGGUUGGACGCCUAGCCUGUGUGAAACUCCUUCGACGAGUCGAGUAGUUUGGGAAUGCUGCUCAAAAUGGGAGGUAUAUCUCUUCUAAAGCUAAAUACCGGCCAGAGACCGAUAGCGCACAAGUAGAGUGAUCGAAAGAUGAAAAGCACCUUGAAAAGGGGGUUAAACAGCACGUGAAAUUGUUGAAAGGGAAGCGCCCAUGACCAGACUUGUGCCCGGCGGAUCACCCAGCGUUCUCGCUGGGGCACUCCGCCGGGUCCAGGCCAGCAUCGGUUUUCGCCGGGGGAUAAAGGCUCUGGGAACGUAGCUCCUCCGGGAGUGUUAUAGCCCUCUGCGUAAUACCCUGGCGGGGACCGAGGUACGCGCUCCGCAAGGAUGCUGGAGUAAUGGUCAUCAGCGACCCGUCUUGAAACACGGAUCAAGGAGUCGUCCAUUAGAGCGAGCGUUUGGGUGUCAAACCCGCACGCGUAAUGAAAGUGAACGUAGGUGAGAGCUUCGGCGCAUCAUCGACCGAUCCUGAUGUCCUCGGAUGGAUUUGAGUAUGAGUUUUACUGGACGGACCCGAAAGAUGGUGAACUAUGCCUGUAUAGGGUGAAGCCAGAGGAAACUCUGGUGGAGGCUCGCAGCGGUUCUGACGUGCAAAUCGAUCGUCAAAUAUGGGCAUGGGGGCGAAAGACUAAUCGAACCAUCUAGUAGCUGGUUACCGCC